GGGGGGCGGGGGGAGGUUUGCGGGUGAAUUCCAGGAGCCGGGUGCCCGGUACACAGCAGGGACUCAAUACGUGCUUCCGAUGUCUCCCUGCCCCGAAGAUACUGUUUAUAUAACUAGUUUGCGAGAUCGUUUGCUGGUAAGCGUAUACAUGAAAGCUGUUCCCAAUAGAGCGUUUGUAUUGUGCACGUGUGCCGACCUCUCUUUAAAGGGAAAAUCCUCAGAGACGCUGAGUGGCCCGAUCUGCCCCAAACCACUUUCAAAGAAAACUGUUGGUGCCCUCGUGGUAACAGUACCUUCGGACAGCAAGACUUAUUUUUAACCUAAGCCGAGGUUCGGUUUCACCAUCCUGUUUGCAUCCGAAAUCAAAGCUUCCAAGAGGUCAAGCCGGGAUGAAGUCAUCGCUCUGACUUGACUAGACUCUAGUUUUGCAAAAACCAUUUCACUCUCCGACUUUUCCCACAGAGUGUGUUAUUUUAUUUCCUCUGCAGCUGUUAUUUCUGCUUGCCUUGCCCAAGUGUCAAUCUGUUACCUGACUGAUAGGAAAGGGGAAAGAAAACCUUGGGGCUAAUUGUGGGCAGAGCAGGGGACAUCAGUUGUGCGCUCAAGGGGUGGUUGUGAAGUGUGGAAACAACAAAUUGCAGUUCUCAGCAAACAUCUGAAAAACUGGGCUAGCUCGACCCAGGUAAGAGACUUAACAGAACAAACUGUAAGAUGAAUUCGUGCCAAAUCAUUCUUCAGUUUGAGGAUACUACAUCUUUAUUAGCCUGCAUUUUUGACAUUUUCUCCUAGAUUUCCUCCUGGUAUAUAUUCAAAUGCAUACUAAUUAUGCACAUUGCGCCACAUGAGUCGACUGUUUGGUUUAAGUUUUCCAUAUGCAAAUAUAAUGACAUGUCUGUUGCCUGUGUGUAUGCAUCAAUUCUAAAAUCAGUUACAUAUUUAUGGGUUUAGGCAUUUAUCAUCAAGCCAAAUGUACACACCUAAUCUUAAAACUAUUUUUUUCUUCCGAAUUGAUAAAAUGUACCAAAGGCAAUUCAAACAAGAAGAGCCAUGUUCCAUGUUUUGUUUUCACAGCAGUUCUUAAAAGGGAAAAUGAGUCAAGUUCCAGCUUUUCAUUAAACUGUGUUCGCAUAUAGGAGAAAGUAUGUAAAUAAAUAUUAUUGUUAUUUAUUCUUUUAA